rnacentral:rRNA from 1 species
GGGCUCACACAAGCGGUGGAGCAUGUGGUUCAAUUCGAAGCAACGCGCAGAACCUUACCUGGGCUUGACAUGCCAGGAUUAUCCCGGUGAAAGCCGGGUAGGCCCGCAAGGGUACAACUGGUACAGGUGCUGCAUGGCUGUCGUCAGCUCGUGUCGUGAGAUGUCGGGUUAAGUCCCUUAACGAGCGAAACCUUUGCCCUUAGUUACCAGCGGGUUAUGCCGGGGACUCUAAGGGGACUGCCGGUGUCAAACCGGAGGAAGGUGGAGAUGACGUCAAGUCCUCAUGGCCUUUAUGCCCAGGGCCACACACGUGCUACAAUGGCGUCGACAAAGCGACCCGAGAGCGCAAGCUGGAGGAAAUCGCAUCAAAUGACGCCCCAGUUCAGAUCGGAGGCUGCAACCCGCCUCCGUGAAGUUGGAAUCGCUAGUAAUCGCGGAUCAGCUACGCCGCGGUGAAUGUGUUCCUGAGCCUU